UUAGAACUGUGAACUGAAAAUAUAAUUGUUCCACGUGAGAGAUUUGCUUGGUUACAAAAGUGAAGACAAAUGAUCAUAUUGUACACUUAAAAUCCUCUAGAGUAGAGUUCAAAAUGGGACGCUAAAGUUAAUGACCAGGUUAAUUGAUGCAUAUUACUUUGCUGACUACUGGAAUUUGCUGCAAGACCAUGUGAGCAGGGCUGAUGGCAAAACAGCUGACGGCCGCAAAGGAAUUGCUUGAAGUGAUUAGGCAGACACCUGCUCAGUCAUAUGUUCAAAGUGGAAGGAAAUUAGUUUGUACAAGCUGUGAUAUUAUUAAGAAGCGCAGGCAUAAUGAUCCACGGGCCACCUGCAAGAACGACUGGAGCAAAGUGGGAUUGAAAACUGGCAGGGAAUGAAAACAAGGAAGGGAGACAGAUUCAUCUGAUACAGGUACAUUACCUGACCAAUUCAUCCUUGUCUGACACUUUCAGAGUGCAAAGAGGACCAUUUGUCACAGCAGAUUGAUAACAAAGGUAUUUAUCUAACAGCCCAACCUUGUUCAAUGAGCUGCUUUGACCUACUGAAUUUAUGAGCAUGAAGCCAUGGCUGUUAAUCAUCAAAUCGGGAGAGGGAA